rnacentral:rRNA from 1 species
GAUUUUAGUGCUUGCACUAAAUGAAACUAGAUACAAGCGAGCGGCGGACGGGUGAGUAACACGUGGGUAACCUGCCCAAGAGACUGGGAUAACACCUGGAAACAGAUGCUAAUACCGGAUAACAACACUAGACGCAUGUCUAGAGUUUGAAAGAUGGUUCUGCUAUCACUCUUGGAUGGACCUGCGGUGCAUUAGCUAGUUGGUAAGGUAAUGGCUUACCAAGGCGAUGAUGCAUAGCCGAGUUGAGAGACUGAUCGGCCACAUUGGGACUGAGACACGGCCCAAACUCCUACGGGAGGCAGCAGUAGGGAAUCUUCCACAAUGGACGAAAGUCUGAUGGAGCAACGCCGCGUGAGUGAAGAAGGGUUUCGGCUCGUAAAGCUCUGUUGGUAGUGAAGAAAGAUAGAGGUAGUAACUGGCCUUUAUUUGACGGUAAUUACUUAGAAAGUCACGGCUAACUACGUGCCAGCAGCCGCGGUAAUACGUAGGUGGCAAGCGUUGUCCGGAUUUAUUGGGCGUAAAGCGAGUGCAGGCGGUUCAAUAAGUCUGAUGUGAAAGCCUUCGGCUCAACCGGAGAAUUGCAUCAGAAACUGUUGAACUUGAGUGCAGAAGAGGAGAGUGGAACUCCAUGUGUAGCGGUGGAAUGCGUAGAUAUAUGGAAGAACACCAGUGGCGAAGGCGGCUCUC